UCAUUAGUUGCUACGCAAGGGCACUCUAAUGAGACUGCGGUGGACAAACCGGAGGAAGGUGGGAGUGACGUCAAGUCCUCAUGGCCCUUAUGGGUAGGGCUUCACACGUCAUACAAUGGUCGGUACAGAGGGUUGCCAAGCCGCGAGGCGGAGCCAAUCCCACAAAGCCGAUCGUAGUCCGGAUUGUUCUCUGCAACUCGAGAGCAUGAAGUCGGAAUCGCUAGUAAUCGCAGGUCAGCAUACUGCGGUGAAUACGUUCCCGGGUCUU
rnacentral:rRNA from 1 species